rnacentral:rRNA from 1 species
GACGAACGCUGGCGGCGUGCCUAAUACAUGCAAGUAGAACGCUGAAGGAGGAGCUUGCUUCUCUGGAUGAGUUGCGAACGGGUGAGUAACGCGUAGGUAACCUGCCUGGUAGCGGGGGAUAACUAUUGGAAACGAUAGCUAAUACCGCAUAAUAGCAGUUGUUGCAUGACAACUGUUUGAAAGGUGCAAAUGCAUCACUACCAGAUGGACCUGCGUUGUAUUAGCUAGUUGGUGGGGUAAAGGCUCACCAAGGCGACGAUACAUAGCCGACCUGAGAGGGGGAGCGGCCACACUGGGACUGGGACACGGCCCAGACUCCUACGGGAGGCAGCAGUAGGGAAUCUUCGGCAAUGGACGGAAGUCUGACCGAGCAACGCCGCGUGAGUGAAGAAGGUUUUCGGGUCGUAAAGCUCUGUUGUAAGAGAAGAACGAGUGUGAGAGUGGAAAGUUCACACUGUGACGGUAUCUUACCAGAAAGGGACGGCUAACUACGUG